rnacentral:tRNA from 1 species
CAGGGUGUAGCGCAGCCUGGUAGCGCACGUGCCUUGGGCGCACGGGGUCCCGGGUUCAAAUCCCGGCACCCUGA